AUUGAACGCUGGCGGAAUGCUUUACACAUGCAAGUCGAACGGUAGAGGGGGCAACCCCUUGAGAGUGGCGAACGGGUGAGUAAUAUAUCGGAACGUGCCCAGUCGUGGGGAUAACGUAGCGAAAGUUACGCUAAUACCGCAUACGAUCUAAGGAUGAAAGCGGGGGAUCGCAAGACCUCGCGCGAUUGGAGCGGCCGAUAUCAGAUUAGGUAGUUGGUGAGGUAAAGGCUCACCAAGCCAACGAUCUGUAGCUGGUCUGAGAGGACGACCAGCCACACUGGAACUGAGACACGGUCCAGACUCCUACGGGAGGCAGCAGUGGGGAAUUUUUGGACAAUGGACGCAAGUCUGAUCCAGCCAUUCCGCGUGCAGGAUGAAGGCCCUCGGGUUGUAACUGCCUUUGUACGGAACGAAAGGUCUUGUUACUUAACGUAGUAAGUAGGACGUCCUACUAGUACGGUAACC
rnacentral:rRNA from 1 species